AUUGAACGCUGGCGGCAGGCCUAACACAUGCAAGUCGAACGAGAGGCGGACGGGUGAGUAAUGGCUGGGAAACUGACUGAUGGAGGGGGAUAACUACUGGAAACGGUAGCUACUACCGCAUACCAUCAGAUGUGCCAAGAUGGGAUUAGCUAGUCGUGGGGGUAACGGCGCACCAAGGCGACGAUCCCUAGCUGGUCUGAGAGGAUGACCAGCCACACUGGAACUGAGACACGGUCCAGACUCCUACGUGAGGCAGCAGUGGGGAAUAUUGCACAAUGGGCGCAAGCCUGAUGCAGCCAUGCCGCGUGUAUGAAGAAGGCCUUCGGAUUGUAAAGUACUUUCAGCGGGGAGGCGUUACCCGCAGAAGAAGCACCGGCUAACUCCGUGCCAGCAGCCGCGGUAAUUC
rnacentral:rRNA from 1 species